UGAGGCUGGAUGGCCUCAUAAGCAGCGCUGAGUCACGCCCUUCAGCCCCCUCUCCACAUUUGCACUAACUGUAAAGUGCCGUCAAUCGAAAAUGCUGAAUUUGAGCUUUGUCGUUGUGUGGAUUUGCUUCAGUGAGUUAUUUGAAUGAACAUUUCAAGAUAGAAAAACAAACAAACAAACUCUUCUUUAUAAAGGGGACAAAACCUUCCACUCUGAGCAGUGAUGAAAUGGUAUGCUCAAGAUAAAAGUAAAAUUGCAGAUCCGAGUGUCCACCAGCAAAAAUUCCCUUGGAAACAUCAGAUGAGCAGCAAAUCCUUCUCUUUAAUGGCUAUUCAUCGAGAUGCUUUUUCCAACUUAAAUUCUGUUGGAGAAGAAAAGUCAAAAGCAGGCAGCACAUCUCCCCAGGGACUUGUGGAUGGCAUGGUUACUGGAAUUAUUAGAGCCAAUCUCAGUUAUGGGGCUGUAAAUGGAUUGGGUGUGCACAUUCAACUUGCAGAGUACGAGGGAAGAAAAGAACACACUUCUCCAGUUUUACUGACUUCAAGGAGAGCUGUCCUCUUAAUUUACAGCUGUUCAUGUGCAAAGACAUCGAUCCUGACCCUCCCAGAGAUGCACCUGUCACAGGGAUGUCUGGCUGCUCAGCAGGUCUCCAGGACCUCCACCUAUUAAAACAUGGCAGAGUUCUAAGAAGAAACGCCCACCUCCCCUUCCCCAACCUCCACAUCUUCCUGUGUUGAUUUUGCCCCCUAACUGUCCCUGGUACCUCCUCAUCAUGGCUGUGCCCAUCCCUGAGGACACGAGCCUUCAUCUCUAGCCUGAGGCUGUUCUUUUCCUUCUCAGACCCCAAACUGAGCCCCAUCCUUGAUUUCCAAACGUUCCUCUCCUGUAAAGGCACAGUCCUGAACCAUUUUAGAAUUGGGGUGUUCUUUCUUCAGAGACCCACAUAUGAAACCGAUAAAUUAGGCUCUGAGUUC